rnacentral:rRNA from 1 species
UACAGAGGUCUCAAGCGUUGUUCGGAUUCAUUGGGCGUAAAGGGUGCGUAGGUGGCGCUGUAAGUCGGGUGUGAAAUUUCGGAGCUUAACUCCGAAACUGCAUUCGAUACUGCGGUGCUUGAGGACUGGAGAGGAGACUGGAAUUCAUGGUGUAGCAGUGAAAUGCGUAGAGAUCAUGAGGAAGACCAGUGGCGAAGGCGGGUCUCUGAACAGUUCCUGACACUGAGGCACGAAGGCCAGGGGAGCAAACGGG